rnacentral:lncRNA from 1 species
GAAACAGAGUAUUACCCAUCACCUAAGAGGCCUCAAGGCCAACCAGAUGGGCCAACCAGUCCCAUCUCAAUCUCAACCACCUACCUUUCUCCAUUAUUGGACUUUACAUGGUAAUUUCUAACUUUUCUUUAUACUUUUAUCACACAAAUAUGCCUCAUUAGAACCUAUAGUUUAGUUUUUUUUGUGUGUGUGUUUUAAAGAAAUGUAUCUUUUAAGCCUCUUUUGAUUGAAAGGAUCUCCCCUCCACCUCUGCUUUUCCCAGGAAAUUUAUUCAUUAGAGAAUCUGGGUCAUUAGGUCUGUGAAGUUUCCCAUAGUCUGUAAUUUGCUGAUUGCAUCCAUAUGGUUUAAUUUGACAUGUUCUUCUGUCCUCUUGUUUUAACCUGUGGAAUGGUAGUUGCAUCUAAAGCAGUGGUUUUUAAUGGGGAGUGAUUCUGCUCUUCCUGCCUGGGGACUUUUGGCAGUGUUUAGAGACUUUUAUUUUUUUAAUUUUUUCCCACUGUACAGCAAGGGGAUCAAGUUAUCCUUACAUGUAUACAUUUUUCCCCCCACCCUUUGUUCUGUUGCAAUAUGAGUAUCUAGACAAAGUUCUCAAUGCUACUCAGCAGGAUCUCCUUGUAAAUCUAUUCUAAGUUGUGUCUGAUAACCCCAAGCUCCUGAUCCCUCCCACUCCCUCCCUCUCCCAUCAGGCAGCCACAAGUCUUUUCUCCAAGUCCAUGAUUUUCUUUUCUGAGGAGAUGUUCAUUUGUGCUGGAUAUUAGAUUCCAGUUAUAAGUGAUAUCAUAUGGUAUUUGUCUUUGUCUUUCUGGCUCAUUUCACUCAGUAUGAGAUUCUCUAGUUCCAUCCAUGUUGCUGCAAAUGGCAUUAUGUCAUUCUUUUUUAUGGCUGAGUAGUAUUCCAUUGUGUAUAUAUACCACCUCUUCCGAAUCCAAUCAUCUGUCGAUGGACAUUUGGGUUGUUUCCAUGUCCUGGCUAUUGUGAAUAGUGCUGCAAUGAACAUGCGGGUGCAUGUGUCUCUUUUAAGUAGAGUUUUGUCCGGAUAUAUGCCCAAGAGUGGGAUUGCGGGGUCAUAUGGAAGUUCUAUGUGGAGAUUUCUAAGGUAUCUCCAAACUGUUCUCCAUAGUGGCUGUACCAGUUGACAUUCCCACCAACAGUGCAGGAGGGUUCCCACAGCCCCUCCAGCACUUGUUAUCUGUGGACUUAUGAAUGAUGGCCAUUCUGACUGGUAUGAGGUGGUAUCUAUCUCAUGGUAGUUUUGAUUUGCAUUUCUCUUAUAAUCAGUGAUGUUGAGCAUUUUUUCAUGUGUUUGCUGGCCAUCUGUAUAUCUUCCUUGGAGAACAGUCUAUUCAGGUCUUUUGCCCAUUUUUACAUUGGUUGAUUGGCUUUUUUGCUGUUGAGUUGUAUGUUUAGAGACUUUUUAAAAAAACUUUUAUAUUGGGGUGGGUGGUGCUACUGCAUAUCUUACAACACACAGGCCAGAUCCCCACAGCAAGAAGUUAUCUGGCUCCAAACACCAUUUAGUGGUGAAGUUGAGAAAUCCCAGUCUAGAGGUUUGUUCAGAUUCAGGUUCAUUUUUUUUUGUGUGUGGCAAAAACAGCAACAACAACAAAAGAUGGUGUGAUGUGUGAUCUUUCAUCACACCAUCAUAGCAUAAUGUCUGGAUAUCUGUAUUUUUAUGAUAAUAGAAACUUUUUUUUUUUUUGGCUUUUUGCCUUUUCUAGGGCCGCACCCACGUGGCUCAGUUCUGGCUUUGCUGUGGCUCUGGUGUAGGCUGGCAGCUACAGCUCAGGUUCAACCUCUAGCCUGGGAACCUCCAUAUACCAUAGGUGUGGCCCUAAAAAGAUAAAAAAAAAAAAAAAAAAAAAAAAAAAAA